rnacentral:rRNA from 1 species
GACGAACGCUGGCGGCGUGCUUAACACAUGUAAGUCGAACGAAGUGGCGAACGGGUGAGUAACGCGUAAUCAACCUGCCCUUCAGAGGGGGACAACAGUUGGAAACGACUGCUAAUACCGCAUACUGAAGGCGGGGAUUGCGUCUGAUUAGCUAGUUGGAGGGGUAACGGCCCACCAAGGCGAUGAUCAGUAGACGGACGGAGAGAAUGAACGGCCAGAUGGGGACUGAGCAACGGCCCAGACUGAUACGGUAGGCAGCAGGGGGGAGUCUGCCGAAAUGGACGAAAGUCUGAGGGAGCAACGCCGCGUGAGUGAUGACGGCGUUCGGGUUGUAAAGCUCUGUUAAGCGGGACGCGGUACCGGAAUAGAAGGCCACGGCUAACUACGUGCCAGAAACCGCGGUAAUAC